rnacentral:rRNA from 1 species
AGUGGCGGACGGGUGAGUAACACGUAGGUAAUCUACCUUGCGGCGGGGAACAACACUUGGAAACGAGUGCUAAUACCGCAUACGUAGUUUCUUCAUAAGAAGAAACUAGAAAGAGGGCUUCGGCUCUCACCGCUUGAUGAGCCUGCGUCCCAUUAGCUAGUUGGUAGGGUAAUGGCCUACCAAGGCGACGAUGGGUAGCUGGUCUGAGAGGAUGAUCAGCCACACUGGAACUGACACACGGUCCAGACUCC